rnacentral:rRNA from 1 species
GUGUCAGCAGCCGCGGUAAUACGUAGGGUGCGAGCGUUAAUCGGAAUUACUGGGCGUAAAGCGUGCGCAGGCGGUUAUGUAAGACAGAUGUGAAAUCCCCGGGCUCAACCUGGGAACUGCAUUAGUGACUGCAUAGCUGGAGUACGGCAGAGGGGGAUGGAAUUCCGCGUGUAGCAGUGAAAUGCGUAGAUAUGCGGAGGAAGACCGAUGGCGAAGGCAAUCCCCUGGGCCUGUACUGACGCUCAUGCACGAAAGCGUGGGGAGCAAACAGGAUUAGAUACCCCCGUAGUCC